rnacentral:ncRNA from 1 species
GGUUAAGAUAAUAAGAGCGCAGGGUGGAUGCCUUGGCACUAAGAGCCGAUGAAAGACGUGAUAAGCUGCGAAAAGCUGCGGGGAGGAGCAAAUAUCCCAUGAUCCGCAGAUAUCUGAAUGGGGAGACCCGGCCAGGAAGACCCUGGUCACUGCAUGGUGAAUCCAUAGCCAUGCAGGGGGAACCCGGUGAACUGAAACAUCUAAGUAGCCGGAGGAAGAGAAAGAAACAUCGAUUUCGUAAGUAGCGGCGAGCGAACGCGAAAGAGCCCAAACCGGAAUGCGUGCAUUCCGGGGUUCGGACUGCAUACGGUAU